rnacentral:lncRNA from 1 species
GGCAGGGCACGGAGUGACAGCGUGGGGAUGAGGCAUCCCUCCCAGAGCCCCCUGAGAUGCUUGCCAUGAGGGGAAAUCUGUCAGCCACCGAGCCUGGGGAGCGAGGAAACCGUGGGCUGCUCCCCACGAAGCUUUUGCUGUUCUCCCCCUGCCAGUGCUGCUGCAGCUGGAGGCCCUGCCCUGCCCUCCUGAAGCAAAAAGCUUCCCUGUGAGUGUCAGAGGAGGUGGAUAGCAUCGGGGGGGCUAAACCUUGGGGAUCUGGGCAUGAUUAUUGCCUGCUCCAUUGGUACCCCCCCCCCCCCAGCUCCGCAGGACAAAGGAACUUGGGUUGAUGUCUCCAUGAAAAGCUGCGGCGGUGGGAGGGGAAUGCCCAGAGGCCCUGGAAUCGUGAGAACUUCCAAUGACUUGGCAAAUCGCUCUGAAUCACUGACGUUUGGCGGCCACCUCCACCCAUGCCUGUCCCUUGCCUGCUCCCUCGCCGGGUGUCAGUUCUCGAGCCUACGUGCUGAGAAGAGAAGUUAAAAAGGUAAAAGUCUGUAAUCUGAUCCCACGGUGACCUGUCUAAUCCUGUUCCCUGGUACAGUGAGAGCUGAAAUACUUGUACUGCAAAACAAUGGCUUGAGGAGGCUACGGAAGGAAGAUGAGAAUCUGCA